rnacentral:misc_RNA from 1 species
AAAUUAUCAAAGCUAUGUCAAAGUUUUUGGGGUAGUUUUGGAUUUAUGAGACUUGCAGGGCAUCGUUAAUGAUGAUGCUCAGCUGUCUUGAAAUGUAUAUUAGCGUGGCUGGGGCCCACUCUAUUGGUGUGAUAGAGAAAAUUUUGAUCACUAAGAAAAGGGUCUUGGCAGGCUUUUGAAUGCAAUUAUUAUGAUUGAUAA